GGGGGUGGGAAGUAGGAGGUGGGGGGCAGCUAGUCCCUGGAGAGGAGCUUGUAUAUUUGGAGUCCAUAGAUGAUGCUGGGGGGUAUGUUAACAGCUUUCCCAAAAUGUGCAGAUGUGUGUGUGUUCACACGCGUGUGCAUGUGCGUGUGAGGAUCCACAGCUUUCGUUAGAUUCCCAAGGGCUCUCUGACCUUGAAAAUGGAAGAAGCACUGGCGUUGGAAGGGAAUGGAGAAGGCCAUGUGUGACCUGGUGCCUCUGGUAGGGCUGCCAGAUUGCCAGACUGGGCAAAUACAAAUAAAGGAUGCCCAGUUGAAGCUUGAAUUUCAGAUAGAUGACAGAUUGGUUUCUAGUAUAAGUAUGUUUUUAUGUAGUUUUUAUUAUAGUAUAAGUAUGUCCUGUGCAAUAUUUGAGGCAUACUUAUACUAAGAAGUUACUUGUUGUUUAUUUGAAAUUCAAGUUUAAGUGGGUGUCCUGCAUUUUAUCUGGCAACUCUACACCGUGUAGCACUUUACACUUUAGAAAACAUGUCCACCUACUUCUUGGAACCCUGUGAAGUCGGUAGAGUCAGCUAUCUUUUCUAAGCUGGGAAUAUGUAGGGUCACAAGGUUAAGUGAGCAGAGUUGGGGUCACAUUUUCUGAAGGCCUGUGAUCAGAGCCCCAGGGUAGGGCCCCGUGCAGAGAGGAAGCUUUUCCAGAGCAUGGUCUCUCUGGUACUAGAGGGCAGACUUGUAACCGAGUGAGCGGCCUGAGCAGGUGCCAGGUGACCAGAACACAGAUGGCCUGCAGCUCUGCUCCACCCCGCUCCAUCCUCAGGCAUCUGCGUUUUCCAGGGCCAGACUCCAACCCCAGAAAAGAGAGAGUGGGUCCUAUUCCCACCGCAGGAUCCUAGAGUAAGCUGCUCCCUGGGCCCCUGACAAUGGCCACUUUUCCAGACUUGCUGUCAGGUUAGAAGGGCAGUGGCCUUGAGGCUGCUGUGCCACUGAUGAGCUGGCUUUCUCUGGUGCUAAUGAGACACAUACAAGAAGACUAAUUAGAGCAGGUCUUGGGGUUUAAUAACGUACCACAGCUCAGAUCACAGGUUCGUUGGAGGAAAGGGAAAGAGGCCAGAUGGCGGGCUCCUCAGGCACUCGGGCCGUGGCUGCCCUCAGCCGCAGGGUCCCCGCUUCCCUCCA
rnacentral:lncRNA from 1 species